AGUGCAAUUGCUGGGUCAUAUGGUAGUCACAUAUUUACAUUUUAAGAAACUGCCAAACUGUUUUCCAGAGUGGCUGUACCAUUUUACGUUCCCAACAGCAAU
rnacentral:pre_miRNA from 1 species